rnacentral:rRNA from 1 species
GCAUACAAUGGCUAUAACGGGUAAACGGGGAAUCAGGGUUCGAUUCCGGAGAGGGAGCCUGAGAGACGGCUACCACAUCUAAGGAAGGCAGCAGGCGCGCAAAUUACCCACUCCCGGCACGGGGAGGUAGUGACGAAAAAUACUGUUGCGAGCCCCGAACGGGGCUUCGCAAUUGGAAUGAGUACACUUUAAAUCCUUGUACGAGGAUCAAGUGGAGGGCAAGUCUGGUGCCAGCCGCCGCGGUAAUUCCAGCUCCACUAGCGUAUAUUAAAGUUGUUGCGGUUGAAACGCUCGUAGUUGGAACUCUGCUCCGGACCGGCGGUCCGCCUUAGCGGCGGUCACUGCCGGGUUCCGAGCUGUGUCCCCGCCGGCGCGCAGGGGGUUUGUAUGCCCUUAACCGGGUGUCCCCUUGUGGCCGGCACGUUUACUUUGAAAAAAUUAGAGUGCUCAGAGCAGGCUGACGAUUGCUUACAGCCCGAAUGGUCGUGCAUGGAAUGAUGGAAGAGGACCUCGGUUCUAUUUUGUCGGUUUUUCGGAACCCGAGGUAAUGAUUAAGAGAAGCAGACGGGGGCAUUCGUACUGCGACGCCAGAGGUGAAAUUCUUAGACCGUCGCAUGACGACCUAAUGCGAAAGCAUCUGCCAAGGAUGUUUUCAUUGAUCAAGAACGAAAGUUAGAGU